rnacentral:pre_miRNA from 7 species
UUUGGGGGAACAUUCAACCUGUCGGUGAGUUUGGGCAGCUCAGACAAACCAUCGACCGUUGAGUGGACCCCGAGG